GCGGAAGAAGGCGGCUCAGCCCCGUACCCCCACAUGAAGAAUCAGAAGGUCGCAGCUCUGGAGCAAGGCUGAGGGCCACUCCCAGCCUGUUUCUACAGAUCCGAAGCAGAGAACUGACAGAGAGUGCCAUAUUGUGGAUGCACAGGGUGCUGAGGUGCAGGUGGUGAAGCUCAUCGACAUCUAUUCCAGGCCUGUAACCACAACCUCUAGACCAGGCAACGGCUGA